GGCACUUUUAUAUCACUAAAUUCGUUAGAGAUUUAAUUACUUUGGCUUUGCUCCAGUAUUCCUGAACAAACAUGACAAACAGUCCCACAAUAUUGGAUCUAAAUAGUCAGCCUCGUUCUGGACUCUCUUUACAGGACGUGUUACUGAAUGGGUGUUCGUAUGUCUGUGUAAAGAGCAUUGCCUGUGGGUGUAUAUCAGUGUUCUGAGGAGGGGUGAUCGCCAUUUGCUCCGAGGCAAGAAAUGACUGACUCAUCUGAGGAACUGAGACUCUCCAGAAAGAGGACCUUCAUCAAGGAGAAGAAAUAUCCUACAGAGGAAGAUAUCUGAUUUGGGCAGGAAGAAACAAUACAGAUGUCUUCCUGUGGCAUCCUUACAUGGUGGGUGGAGAGAGACAGCUAUAGCCAAUGGAGAGCUGAGAAGAUGCACUGCACGCCUCCUGAGAACCGGGACUACUGUCACGUGGCAUAAUGACUCACCCGCCUGACUGUCUGCAGGUCCCAUUGGCCCUCCCCUCAUGCUGACCUCUAGGCAUGAUUACACAAACCAUCUCGAGAGAAGCACUUUAGAUGGGCCUGUGCUUUCACAGUGCCUUCAGCAAACACUGCGUUUGCUGCUGUGAUGAUAUUGAUAAAACCUAAUAGAACGUAUUUCCUAACAAAAAUAUUCUAUUAAUAACAGGUUGUAAGGUGAAUUUUUGUAUUUUUUAAAAGCAUUUAGGAGCUUAUAUUUUAGAAGCAUUAUGUUUUAUGAUUUCUUGUCGAAGGCGUUCUAUCAUAUUUUAUUAUUUUAAUUAAAGCAGAAAAUUCACUUAUCAUAGAAAGUGCAAAAGAAAAAAAAACCAAACUUACAGUUUAAACCUCUAUAAGAUAUCCAUGCAGUUUUAAGUAACACAUCACAAGGAUAUUCUUGCCAUAAAAAUUCUUAAAACACAAUUUUUAAUAAUUCCAUUACCUGGCAUUUUGUGGGUAGGGAAUCUUUUAUUUAACCAAUCCCCUCACUUUUGAAUAUUUCAUUUUAAAACUAUUCUUUAUUAAAGACAAGGUGGCUAUUAUCUUAAA